ACUUAGAGUUUGAUCCUGGCUCAGGACGAACGCUGGCGGCGUGCUUAACACAUGCAAGUCGAGCGAGGCUCUCCCUUCGGGGGGAUGCCCUAGCGGCGAACGGGUGAGUAACACGUGGGCAACCUGCCCCUAGCUCUGGGAUAACUCCGGGAAACCGGGGCUAAUACCGGAUACGACCUCUGAAGGCAUCUUCCGGAGGUGGAAAGAUUUAUCGGCUAGGGAUGGGCCCGCGGCCUAUCAGCUUGUUGGUGGGGUAACGGCCUACCAAGGCGACGACGGGUAGCCGGCCUGAGAGGGUGUCCGGCCACACUGGGACUGAGAUACGGCCCAGACUCCUACGGGAGGCAGCAGUGGGGAAUAUUGCGCAAUGGGCGAAAGCCUGACGCAGCGACGCCGCGUGAGGGAUGACGGCCUUCGGGUUGUAAACCUCUUUCAGCAGGGAAGAAGCGAAAGUGACGGUACCUGCAGAAGAAGCACCGGCUAACUACGUGCCAGCAGCCGCGGUAA
rnacentral:rRNA from 1 species